AUUAAGAUGGCUGAUUUAGGCGGUAAACUGUAAAUUUACUUAAGAAAUAAUUAUUUCUCUUAGUA
rnacentral:tRNA from 1 species